rnacentral:rRNA from 1 species
CUACGGGCGGCUCCAGUGAGGAAUAUUGGUCAAUGGCCGGAAGGCUGAACCAGCCAUCCCGCGUGCAGGAUGACGGCCCUAUGGGUUGUAAACUGCUUUUUUGCGCCAAGAAACCUGUCUACGAGUAGACAGUUGACGGUAGCGUAAGAAUAAGCAUCGGCUAACUCCGUGCCAGCAGCCGCGGUAAUACGGAGGAUGCAAGCGUUAUCCGGAUUCAUUGGGUUUAAAGGGUGCGCAGGUGGGCCUGUAAGUCAGUGGUGAAAUGCUGCCGCUUAACGGUAGAAUUGCCAUUGAUACUGCGAGUCUUGAGUAUGGUUGAGGUAGGCGGAAUGUGUUGUGUAGCGGUGAAAUGCAUAGAUAUGACACAGAACGCCGAUUGCGAAGGCAGCUUACUAAGCCAUUACUGACACUGAGGCACGAAAGCGUGGGGAGCGAACAGGAUUAGAUACCCUCGUAGUC